rnacentral:rRNA from 1 species
AGUGAACGCUGGCGGUAGGCCUAACACAUGCACGUCGAACGGCAGCACAGUAAGAGCUUGCUCUUACGGGUGGCGAGUGGCGGAUGGGUGAGGAAUCCGUCGGAAUCUACUUUUUCGUGGUGGAUAAAGUAGGGCCACUUACGCUAAUACCGCAUAAGACCUACGGGUGAAAGCAGGGCAUCUUCGGACCUUGCGCGAUUGAAUGAGCCGAUGUCGGAUUAGCUAGUUAGCGGGGUCAAGGCCCAACAAGGUGACGUUCCGUAGUUGGUCUGAGUGGAUGAUCAGCCACACUGGGACUGAGACGCGCUCCAGAGGCCUAGAGGAGGCAGCAGUGGGGAAUAUUGGGCAAUGGGCGCAAGCCUGAUCCAGCCAUACCGCGUGGGUGAAGAAGGCCUUCGGGUUGUAAAGCCCUUUUGUUGGGAAAGAAAAGCAGCACGGUAAUACCCCGCUGUUAUGACGGUACCCAAAGAAUAAGCACCGGCUAACUUCGUG